rnacentral:lncRNA from 1 species
UUUAACGUCCCAAAAUCACGAUAUGAAUAUGAGAGACACCGUAGUGGAAGGCUCCGGAAAUUUCGACCGCCUGGGGUUCUUUAACGUGCACCUAAAUCUAAGCACACGGGCCUCGAGCAUUUUCGCCUCCAUCGAAAAUGCGGCCGCCGCGGCCGGGACUCGAUCGCGCGACCUGCGGGUCAGCAGUCGAGCGCCAUAUACCACUAUAACCCCGUGGCGGGUCCCUUUCAAAAAUAAAAAGAAAGCGGUU